rnacentral:lncRNA from 10 species
UCCCUGUCACCUUCUGUGAAUCUACUAGCAAACAUCUCUUCAAAAGUUGGAACAGCUUUGGAAGUGUCAGUCAUUCUGAAAUUCCCAAAGAUUUGAGGAAGGUGUAUUGCUUAAUGUUCAGGUUGUUUAAAAUCCACCAAAGGCUGUGUCAAUCCACCUUGGGCCGAACCCCACCAGAGAGACACUGAGAGGUUGCAGGAGAGGUGCCUCUGGCCCACCACGCCUGGAAGUCCAGACCACUCCAGCUCCUAAGGAGCUGGCCUGAAGAACUUCUUGGGAAUAAAGACUCCAAAGAGAAGCUGAGUGUUGCUUUGGGACUGCCUGGCUGGAACUUCCCUGUUUUACUUUGAUGUGAACAAACAAUUUCACAUGCGUUUAUAAACUGUGGGAAGUCUCUCUCUAACCUGUGUAGGAAGAUUUCUGGUUCCAACAAGGAUGAUGCCCUCUUCUCUCAAAUUAAUCCUGGAGAAAAGAAAAAAAAUUAACAGAAGUGAAACAUGAAUUCUAACAAUGAAUAAAACCAACCAACAGACUGUGGGAACACCCUGAGGGUACAGAAGACUAUUUGCACUUGCGUGUGUCAGUUUCAGCCAGGGGAAGAAGGUGGCCCAAGGUGGCAGUGGAGCUUUCUGGAUUCUGCUCUUGUCCUUCUCUGGCUUUACUUCAAGACAGCCAUCACUCGCCUCUUCACUGCAGAGGUGACCCAGGAUCACAGAGAGGCUGCAUAAAUAUUGCUGAGGGAGGAGUUAAUGAAAACAAGGGCUUCUGGACCCAUUUGCCUUACCCCUACCCUUCAGACCCACAGGGCUCGUGGAUUAAAAUCUAGGGAGGCUACCUUCUCAUAAUGCAUCUUCUCCUUAAGGUUUAAGGUCAAGACCUGAGCAAUAGAGUUACAUGAUGGGUUCCUACAAAUCAGGGUAAUUCACAGUGGUUUGGUGAUGUCUGGGAUUUCCACAUGGAGGCUCAUUCUCUCUUUAUUAACUCACUUAAACUGGGCAGGGUAGCUGGUAUCCUCACGGGAAGACUUCUGGGCUAAAAUGACCAGACAUCUAAGGGGUACAUGCAUUCUCUGAAACGGAAAUAUUAGAAGUGGACUAAGAAUUUAAAAUAAAUAUGAUAGAAACACUUAAGCUGAUAAGGGAAAAUACUAGCAGUGUAAGACAAAGCAAUGACAACAAGUGGAAUAAUAAAAUAUGGCUUAAAAGGAAGAAAAAUAUAUAGGAGGACAGAUAUAACUGAAAAAAUAAAUUAAUGCAGUAGAACAGUUAAUUGAGAAAUUCUUCCAGAAGGCAGCAGGAAUGUAUAUAAAAAAGAAAAUAAAUAGAGAAAUUUAAAAAGCUAACAGGCAUGGUGGAUAGAAGUGCCAAUAUCUAGUAUUAGAACACUCAGAAGGAAAGUGGAGAUAUAUGGAAGGAAAUAAUCUGGAGAAAGAAUAGAGGUAAUUACUCCUACUUAAAAAAAAGACAGAAGACUUCAGUUUGAAAGGGCUAAUGAAUUGUCAAACAUAAAAGAAAAGGAAAACCCACCCUACACAUUAUGAUAAUAUCUAAGAACAUCAAGUACAAAGAAAAAGUUCUACAAGUUGCCAGAAAGUGAAGAUUAACUAAAAUAAACAAGAAUGAGAUUGGUAUCAGAUUCCUUAACAGCAACACGGUGUGAGAAGCCAGUGAAGCAGUCCUUUUAAAAUACUGAAAGAAAAUAACAUUGAACAUAAAGCUUUACAUCUAAUAAAAUUGCCAUUUGAUUGUGAAGGGUAAUGAAAAUAUUCCCAGGUAUGGAAGGUCUCAAAUUUUUGUUUUAUGAAAGGAUACAUUGAAAAUGUUUUGGGGAAAGUACUGUUUAGAAGUAAAUAUACUCAGAUAUACUCAAGUAUAUUUAGAAGUAAAUAUACUUAAGAUAUAUGCUGAAAGAGAGAAGGAGAAAGUAUUUUGGGAUUCUAGACAAUAUCAACAUGAUGUAGGAUGUGGAUCAUAGGACACUAAGGGACCACGGAACCUGUCAGACCACUUCUAUGUUUAGGGAGAAGACACAGAUCUUGACAGACUGAUUGUAUUAGUUUGCUAGGGCUGCCAUAACAAAGUACCACAGGCUGACUGGUUUAAAUGACAGAAGUUUAUUUUCUCACAAUUCUGGAGGCCGUAAGUCCAGAUCAAGGUCUUGGCAAGGUGGGUUUUCCCUGAGGCCUCCCUCAUUGACUUGUAGUUGGCUGUCUUUUUCCUACGUCUUCACAGACAUGCAUCUGUAUCCUAAUUUCUUUUUAUAAAGACACUAGUUAUGUUGGAUCAGGACUCAUCCUAACAACCUUAUUGUAACUUAAAAAUCUCUGUAUAGACCCUAUCCCCAAAUAUAGUCACAUUCUGAGGUACAGGGGUUAGGACUUCAGCAUACGAAUUUUGAGGGGACACCAUUUAGCCUGUAACACUGAUGUCUUCCAAACCCAUGCCCAUAAGCAUACUAACCAGUGAUCAUUCUGAUUUUCUGUUGGUCAGUGUCAGUGACGUUUUCAAUUGUUAUAUAGUACUUUGAAUACCACAUCUAGAUAUUGCUAAGUUUAAGAAACAAAUAAGGACCAGUAAUGAUACAUAUCUUAUCACUAUAAGAACAAAAAUAGAACACAUAGCUUUUAAACCAGAAGAGAAAAUAAGUUGGUCUAUUCAAUAGAAAAUAGGAAAGAGAAAAAGAAGGCAAAACAUGCAGUAAAUGAAAAAUAUAAAAUGAAAGACCAAAUAGCAAUUUUAAAAAUUACAUUAAAUAUAAUGAGUUAAACACUUUUGUUGAAAGAAACAGAUUAGAUUUUUUAAGAAAUGAAACAAUAUGUUGAGUCCCAAAGAUAAAUUAAGAUAAAGGACAUAGAAAGUUAAAAAAAAUAAAAAAGAUAUUUGGAAAAUAUAAAUUGAAAGAAAUUUGGGGUAGACAUCUUAAUAGCUGACAAAAUAAAAUUGAAAAACCAAAAAUUUUAAUAGGGACAAAGCAGGAUGCUAUAUACAGUAAAGGAGCAAUAGAAUAAAAAGAUACAACCAUUUUAAUCUGUUACGCACCUAAUCACACAGCUGUAAAUAAUAUCAAAAACCAACCAGCAGAAUUUUAGGAAGAAAUAGAUAAAUCAACAGGUGUGGCUGGAAAUUUCAUACUCACCCCUCAAGAAACCAUAAAUCAAGCAUACACACAUACAUACACACAAAUAAGCAGCAGGAUCAAGACCUGAACAGUAAAAUAUAAUAAAUUAGCUCAUGCUAAUAUAUCUAAAUAUAUAUGCAUACACUUAUGUAUCCAACAGAGAAUACACAUCAUUUUCAAGCACACAUGGAACAUUUAUAACAAUAAACUAUAAAUCAAUUUCACCAAGUUCUUUGAGCAUAAUGCAGUAAAAUUAAACAUAAAUUACAAAAAGUCACUAAAACAUAUCUCAUAUAUUUGAAAGCUAAAUAUUUCAAAAUAAUUCAUAUGUUAAAAUUUGUGAAUAUAGUUAAGCAGAAAAAAUUUAUAGCUUCAAAAAUAACAUGAAAUAAUAAAGUUUUAAAAGAAAUGAACUAACUUCAGCUAGUGAAGUGGGAAAAAUAGCAGUGACAAAACCAAAGAAACAAGAAGGAAGGAAAUGAUAAAGAUAAAGCUGGAAAUGAUGAAGACAAAGGUAGACAAAGACAAUCAAGAACAGAAGAACAAUACAGGAGAUUAACAAAACCAAAAACUGAUUCUUUGAGAAGAUUAACAAAGUAGACCUCUGAUAAGAUUAAUGAAGAUAAAAGAAGAAGCAAAUAAACAAGGCACAUAAUGAAAGAGUGACAUCACUACAGAUACAACAAAGAUUUGAAACAGAUAACUUUAAGAUUUUAGAUGAAAUACAUUCCUAGAAAAUAUGAAAUGCCAAAAAUUGUCACAAGAAAACAUGAAUAAAUAAAAUAAAU